rnacentral:rRNA from 1 species
CCUACGGGUGGCAGCAGUGGGGAAUAUUGCACAAUGGGGGAAACCCUGAUGCAGCGACGCCGCGUGAAGGAAGAAGUAUUUCGGUAUGUAAACUUCUAUCAGCAGGGAAGAAAAUGACGGUACCUGACUAAGAAGCCCCGGCUAACUACGUGCCAGCAGCUGCGGUAAUACGUAGGGGGCAAGCGUUAUCCGGAUUUACUGGGGGUAAAGGGAGCGUAGGCGGUUUAGCAAGUCAGAAGUGAAAGCCCGGGGCUCAACUCCGGGACUGCUUUUGAAACUGUUGAACUAGAGUGCAGGAGAGGUAAGUGGAAUUCCUAGUGUAGCGGUGAAAUGCGUAGAUAUUAGGAGGAACACCAGUGGCGAAGGCGGCUUACUGGACUGUAAAUGACGCUGAGGCUCGAAAGCGUGGGGAGCAAACAGGAUUAGAUACCCCGGUAGUC